CGAUCGGCCGCGCGGGCUGGGGGCGAGGCUGCGGAAUCCCGAGCCGCGGAUGGCGCGUCGGGGCGGGGGAGGCAGCGCUGCCGGGACACGACGGGGUUAAGCUGGGUCGGCCGCCAUUUUGGAUGGCGGGGAGGGCCCAGUUGGGUUUGCCUUCAUGGACAGCAGCAACCAUCACCUGUCUGCCAUGGCAAUAGAUGCCUCUGCUUGCUCCAGAUGUCCUUCUCCUGCAGACCAGAGAACACCUCUUGCUAAAAGGAACAUUGAAACAGAAGAAUAGAAAUAAUCACUGGACCAUUUAAUGUAACCUUGUGUAUCACGUGAUGCAGGAGUUACUUAAUGAAAUUCCCUGGCCCAAACCAAGCAAAUCUGUGGUAAAUCUAGAGCACAUUUUUUCGGAUGACAGCCAAAAUGAUGAAAGGAAUUUACUACCCGGCCUCGCUAAUCAUUUUGAAUGCUUAACUGGGCUCCCUAAUAUGCUGCUUUGCAAGCAGCAAAACUUAUACAUCCUCAUUCCCUACACAUUUCUCCAGCCUUCCCCAGGCUGUGCACCUGAAAAAACCUCCCAGCACCCUGCCAGCCCUGUCCAGGGGCAGGGUGGCCAGCUGUGCCUGCUGUGAGUGCUGGAUGGCCAGCUGCCCACCUCUGGGAAGAGACCUCUGCAGGCCCGAACCUCUGCUGCCUCUCCCUUCAAAGCAUGUGGGUUUGGGACUUGCUCUUUGCUCAGCUUAUUUAAAAAUCUGGAGAAAAGAGUUCUGCCCCAUCAGCUUUGGAAAUAGUUGUUUAACAUGGUAGAGAACAAGCUGAGCCUGCGUAACCCAAGACAACCAAUUCCUUUAGCAGAAAGAGUAUCUUCUGUCAUCAAAAAGAGCCAUCUGGAAGAGCGUUGGCUCCCUGCCAGGAACAACCCGUUAGCAACUGCUCAACAUGCACUUUAAGUUAUAAUGUUCAUAACGGCACAACCUGGAGUGUUGGUAAAGGGCCUAUUGGAGGAGCAACGUAUUCCUCCUCCCGCAGUAACCGCAAAAGGAUGUUCUUCUUAUUCUUUGGCCAGUUAUAAAUGUGGGUGUUCUGCAGCCAGGUAGGCACGUGUUCCUGAAAAAAUAAGGAAAUAAACACUAAAUCCUGUAAAUCCUCCUGAAUCUGUACCAGAACCUUGCAGAUUCUGUCAGGCCCUGCCAAGCAAGAUUUCAUUUUGUCUGUUCUAGGCACUUCCCGUAACAACAAGAAAUUUUAAUUUGGCUUCAGAAUUGUAUUUGGGUUCCUAAAUAAAUGAACUUUGUGUGAUCUCACA